rnacentral:rRNA from 1 species
CCUACGGGAGGCAGCAGUGAGGAAUAUUGGUCAAUGGGCGCGAGCCUGAACCAGCCAAGUAGCGUGAAGGAUGACUGCCCUAUGGGUUGUAAACUUCUUUUAUAUGGGAAUAAAGUGCGGUACGUGUACCGCUUUGCAUGUACCUUAUGAAUAAGGAUCGGCUAACUCCGUGCCAGCAGCCGCGGUAAUACGGAGGAUCCGAGCGUUAUCCGGAUUUAUUGGGUUUAAAGGGAGCGUAGGUGGGUUGUUAAGUCAGUUGUGAAAGUUUGCGGCUCAACCGUAAAAUUGCAGUUGAUACUGGCAGUCUUGAGUACAGUAGAGGUAGGCGGAAUUCGUGGUGUAGCGGUGAAAUGCUUAGAUAUCACGAAGAACUCCGAUUGCGAAGGCAGCAUACUGGACUGCAACUGACGCUGAUGCUCGAAAGUGUGGGUAUCAAACAGGAUUAGAUACCCCUGUAGUC